rnacentral:lncRNA from 1 species
UUUUGGCAUUCUAACAUUGAGUCCCUCUGCAAUUGCUUCCAUUGCGAAUUGAUGAGAAACCUCAGAUUUUUGUUUGAUUUUGUAUUGGACUUACUAUAGCAUGCUUUUUCUAUCUUCAGUUUGUUAAUACUGCAAAUGACUAAACAUAGCUAUGAGAUCUGAGGGCUUUGUUGAUCAUUUUGAAUCCCAGACUUUAUCAUGCUAUUUUGUUUUCUUCGCAAAUGAUUUGCAUCUUGAUUAGUUGAUUAUACUCGUGCCUACAUUUCACUGAAUGCAUAAAUAAGUAAUUAGCAGUUGUCUACCAUGGGAAUUUUUUGGCUGUUGGUUUUGUUCUUUAGUGACUACAGUUUGGAAAUGUGAUGCUACUGAUUGGUAGUACGUUUUCUCAUUGGGAUGGUUUAUAUGAAUUUUUUAGCUUCGUUAGUCUAUGAAUUUUGUCAAUCCCGCUGAAUGCUAAUUUUGUUUUUGGUUUUUUUGUAGAGAUUACGUUAUAAUGCUAAUUUUGUCUUCAAUUUGUGGUUAAAAAAAAUGCUGUUAAACAAUUUGCAUUAGCAAACUUUCAAAUUUAUAAAUGGAGAAUGUUGGGGUAGCAAGUAUAAGUCGUUUUUUUUUUUUUUUUUGAUUCGAUUCGAUUCUUUGGCAUUCUAACAUUGAGUCCCUCUGCAAUUGCUUCCAUUGCGAAUUGAUGAGAAACCUCAGAUUUUUGUUUGAUUUUGUAUUGGACUUACUAUAGCAUGCUUUUUCUAUCUGCAGUUUGUUAAUACUGCAAAUGACUAAACAUAGCUAUGAGAUCUGAGGGCUUUGUUGAUCAUUUUGAAUCCCAGACUUUAUCAUGCUAUUUUGUUUUCUUCGCAAAUGAUUUGCAUCUUGAUUAGUUGAUUAUACUCGUGCCUACAUUUCACUGAAUGCAUAAAUAAGUAAUUAGCAGUUGUCUACCAUGAGAAUUUUUUGGCUGUUGGUUUUGUUCUUUAGUGACUACAGUUUGGAAAUGUGAUGCUACUGAUUGGUAGUACGUUUUCUCAUUGGGAUGGUUUAUAUGAAUUUUUUAGCUUCGUUAGUCUAUGAAUUUUGUCAAUCCCGCUGAAUGCUAAUUUUGUUUUUGGUUUUUUUGUAGAGAUUACGUUAUAAUGCUAAUUUUGUCUUCAAUUUGUGGUUAAAAAAAAUGCUGUUAAACAAUUUGCAUUAGCAAACUUUCAAAUUUAUAAAUGGAGAAUGUUGGGGUAGCAAGUAUAAGUCGUUUUUUUUUUUUUUUUGAUUCGAUUCGAUUCUUUGGCAUUCUAACAUUGAGUCCCUCUGCAUUUGCUUCCAUUGCGAAUUGAUGAGAAACCUCAGAUUUUUGUUUGAUUUUGUAUUGGACUUACUAUAGCAUGCUUUUUCUAUCUUCAGUUUGUUAAUACUGCAAAUGACUAAACAUAGCUAUGAGAUCUGAGGGCUUUGUUGAUCAUUUUGAAUCCCAGACUUUAUCAUGCUAUUUUGUUUUCUUCGCAAAUGAUUUGCAUCUUGAUUAGUUGAUUAUACUCGUGCCUACAUUUCACUGAAUGCAUAAAUAAGUAAUAAGCAGUUGUCUACCAUGGGAAUUUUUUGGCUGUUGGUUUUGUUCUUUAGUGACUACAGUUUGGAAAUGUGAUGCUACUGAUUGGUAGUACGUUUUCUCAUUGGGAUGGUUUAUAUGAAUUUUUUAGCUUCGUUAGUCUAUGAAUUUUGUCAAUCCCGCUGAAUGUAUCUUAUUUGCAAUUGCAAUAUUCAGAAUGCAUGGUCUUUUGUUGCUAGAUGAAAUCAUUGAUGCCUCUCUUAGAAUUGUGGUAAACUGAGAUACAGCUUUGUCUUUUUUAAAUGCUAACUGUAUUUGCUUGCAGACAGUUUAAUUAAACUUCGAUUAGGUCUUUAUUGAUGCACUUCGUAUGUCUAUUUCAUCAAUAAUAGUAUCUUCCUCUUCUUGAAUUGCCACUUUGAAAGCAUUAAACAUUUAGUUGUCCAAGAGUCAACCUAUUCUUGUUUAACUGAACUAAUCAACUAUGUUAUCUGCCAAUCCUUAGUGAUUCACUUUGGUUCUAUUGGACCUAGCUAGUCAAUCUUUCAUUGCUUUUGAUACCAUCUGUUUAAUAUAUGCUUGAUAAAUUUCAAAGGCUUUGAAAUGUGCCGUAUGAUGAGAAGUUGUUAUGUGGGGUAGUUCUUUUGUUUGUUAUUGUUGUUUCCUUCUAUCUCUGGAGACAUAGAUUGGUUUUUAUGAAAAUCAUGUCAUUAGCUUCACUAUCAUUGAAUUAUGAUGCUGAUGAAAUCUGAGGGUAGUUUGUUUUCUUUGAAUUACAUCUUUUAGUUUGUUGUUAUAUCCUUUUUGGUGUUGGUAUUGGAAGCUUGAUUAGAGCCUUUGUGACCAAUGUGCUUUUUGCUUUCUCUCUCUCUAUAUAUUAGUAGAUCAUAGUUCUUUCUUUCUAUGAUGUUAUGUAGGGGUGUUAGACAUUUGUGUCUUGGUUUUCAUCGAGAUCCUACUGUCUGUUGCCCAAUGAUGGAAAACUCAUUUUUGAUUGAAUGGUUCUGGUUUUCAAUUCAUCUCUAGCUUUUGCACACCACCUGCUUCAUUCUUUCUCUCUCUCUCUCCAUUUGCACGUGUGUUUGUGUGUACAUAUGUAUAUUUAUUUAUUUAUUUAUUUAUUUUUGGUGGUGUGUGAAAAGCUAUUGAUGAGUGCAUUUACGGAACUGUUCAUAAUCUUGGCAAAGAUAUGAGAUCUGAGGGCUCUUUCUAAUUGCACUUUUAGAGCUUUCAAAAUAAGAUGUUGUCUUCAGCCAAAAGAGGCAGAGAAAUUCAGUUACAUAUACAGUGCCAAUCUAUAACUGUAUGUAAGUUAAUUGAAAUUUUAAUUAAUGCAUCAGAGAAAUUUAGACUUAGCAUUUCUCUGGUUGAUUAAAUAUGUAUUUGUAUGUACAUUUAAUCUUUGCAGUUGGGUGAGGCUGAUUUCUACAGUUUUAUAUGAUAAUCCAUGAAUUUUUCACUUUUUUUCUCUUCUAUGAGCCUACUUUUCUAGGCAGUCUUACUUAGAUACCUUUUACUUGUUAAAGUUUGGUCUUGAGAUCACUUGCCCUCAACGGUCUUUGGUAUUAGAUUGCUCAUUAAUCCGCCCUGCCUGAUGAUGGAUACUUUAUGUGGGGAGAAGUUUCUACGGCAUCGUUGUUGGCCUCCAUCCUUUCUGCAACUUGUCAUCAUUGUUGUUGGCACUGGUAGUAGUGGAUGUGGAGUGGUUUUCAAUGAAAUCCUAUAGCAUCACCAUUGAUGAGUUGUUAGAACUAUUGAGUUUUGACCUCUGAGGGCUUGGCUCGUUCUUUUACCAUAUGGUGCAUUAGAAGAUCCUCUGUUUUGAUGUUUCUUAGCGUAUAACAAUAUACAUGUCAAGGCCCAUGCCUUGUUUUAAUGUAACUUCUGAAGCUAGCAGUUCAGUGGGAUUAUUGGUAAUGGGAAUGGUGUUUGAUUCUUAGUAGUGAUUGUUGCAGGGUGUUGUGACUGACAGGAAAAAGUUGGAAUGCCAUGAGAAGGGUGAAGCUGAUGCAUCCGCUGAGGUUUUUGACCAGAGAUGGGAGACCCAAUCAAGAAUUGAAAUUUGUUUUUUGUGUGCUCAGUUCUCACUUGUUAUCUGCUUAGAUUAGACUAGAACUAGAUCU